rnacentral:lncRNA from 1 species
UUGUUGACAAUUUUGAAAUAUCAAACAAUUAAAAUAGUGUGUAAAUUGUGUUUAGCAUUUGAACAUAAUAUCCAAUAAAAAAAAAUAUAUGAACAAAAUAUUACAUGGCUACAUGUGAUCCCAUAUGAUGUCCACAAAAAUGAACUCCUGCUUGAGCCAUUCAAUGGCAAUUUACCAAUUUAAUGCCCUGUAAUAAGAAGGGACAAAAGAUGAUACGAGAAUAUGACAAUACGUCUACAUCAUCAUGGACCGCUCAUUAACGAGUAACUAAGAUUGCAAAACAAAGAGUGAUCUAUGAAACUGUCUGUUUUCACCGCUUCUGUUCGCUCCACGCCUUGCUUUCGAAAAAUUCACCGAGCAUUUGUUCAAGAUUC